rnacentral:rRNA from 1 species
GACGAACGCUGGCGGCGCGCCUAUUACAUGCAAGUCGAGCGGAAUGAUGAAGAAGCUUGCUUCUUCUGAUUUUAGCGGCGGACGGGUGAGUAACACGUGGGCAACCUACCUUGUAGAUUGGGAUAACUCCGGAAACCGGGGCUAAUACCGAAUAAUCCAUUUUGCUUCAUGGCGAGAUGUUGAAAGACGGUUUCGGCUGUCACUAUAAGAUGGGCCCGCGGCGCAUUAGCUAGUUGGUAGGGUAAUGGCCUACCAAGGCGACGAUGCGUAGCCGACCUGAGAGGGUGAUCGGCCACACUGGGACUGAGACACGGCCCAGACUCCUACGGGAGGCAGCAGUAGGGAAUCUUCCACAAUGGACGAAAGUCUGAUGGAGCAACGCCGCGUGAGUGAAGAAGGUUUUCGGAUCGUAAAACUCUGUUGUAAGGGAAGAACACGUACGAGAGUAACUGCUCGUACCUUGACGGUACCUUAUUAGAAAGCCACGGCUAACUACGUG